GUCUCAGGGCGGGGUGAAAUUCCCCACCGGUGGUUAUAGUCCACGAGCGCGAACCGCGUGACAAUAUCGCGCGGUUCGGUCAGCAGAAUCGGUGAGAUUCCGAUACCGACGGUUAAAGUCCGGAAGAAAGAGAA
rnacentral:ncRNA from 1 species